AGACAUCUAGAGAAGAGUACACAAAUCUGUAUACAUGGAACCGAGCACUAGGAGAAGUGCAGGUGGGAGGAGACAGGAAUGUUGAGUCAUUCACUCUACCUACACUUAAUAAAAAGCCGGCACAGGAGGUCGCGUAACUCCUUAUUCCACCAAUUUUAAAACAUACCCAAAUCCACAUUCUUCCACCUCCAUAACUCAAAACAAAUAAGCGAAACUAAAAAAAAAAAUACCAACAAGGUGUUUUUAUUUAGUUAUAUAAUGGAGCUUGAAUUAGUACCAUGUUGCUCACCUGACAACUUGUCUCUGGAAUUAAUGAAAGAGGCCCUUUGGGGUGACAAUCCUUGGGACGCAGUGGAGGCUGUCUAGUCCAAGGAGAGGUGUUCGGGUGCCGACCUGGGCUGACGGGAGUCAGCAGCUUUGUAUGCGACCAAGCCAGCACAGGGCAGGCAGGAGGAACAGAAAGUUGGGGCAAUUCAAGAGCUUCUUCUCUGACUUCCAGCACCUGCCUCAGCAUAGAUGGCUGAUCAUCUUUAGGAAGUUGCUGGAGAGCCUGGCUGGAGUUUCUCUGCCUUCUGUUCUUGUGAGAACACUUAAGAUCUACGCUCUCAGCAAAUUUCAAGAAAACGAUCCAAUGUUGUUAGCUACAGGCACCGUACAACAGCAGAGCUGCAGAACUGAGGCACCUCGCAAACUCAAACUUUGCACCCUUUGACCGACAUCUCCUCAUUUUCCUCUCCCCACAACCUCUGUUAACCACAGAUUCUACUCUCUGCUUCUAUGAGUUUGACUAUUUUAGAUUCCACACAUACGUGGAUCAUGCGGUGUUUGUCUUUCUGUGUCUGGCUUAUUUCACUUAGCAUCAUGUCGUCUAGCUUCAUCCAAGUUGUCACGAAGGACAGGAUUCCCUUCUUUUUUUAAAGGCUGAAUAGUACUCCAUUGUAUGUAUAUACCACAUUUUCUUUAUCCAUUCAUCCAUUGACUGAUACACAUUUCCAGAGGUGGAAAGAAAGAAACAGAAAUGUAUUAAUGUCCUGAAAACUGUGCAUUAAUAUAGGUAUGUACAUGUAAUGCUUUUGGAAGAAAAGUUGAGAAUCAUUGAAAUAUGACUUUUAAUGGCCCCUCUCACUCCCAAAUUUUAUAUCUUACAAUCCAUGGCAACGAUCUUGUGAGAUCUUUGGUGCUUUAAAAUGAUCAAUACUACAUAUCAUUUUUGGUAAUCAAUUAU
rnacentral:lncRNA from 10 species